UUGACCCAGCACCAACUGCUUGAAGAGACAAUCCUGUCCCCACUGUUCUGUCUGCUGCAGGAGUCUUAAAGGAAGUGUACACGUGUGUUGUCAGCUCUCCAGAUCAGACGUGAGUGCCCAGAGCCAGGAGAGGAGAAGCGGAGGGAAGGAGGAGGCUGCCCCCAUCCCGAGUGCAGAAUUUUCUCAAGGAUAUUUAAAUGAAGAAAGCAGCAUUUUCCACUGGAUGAAGGGGUUUGAGCAGAGGGAGGUGGGAAUGUCAGGACCUUGGAGGACACAGGUCUCACCUGACCCUCAGGGAUGUGUAAGAAUCUGGGAACAGUGGGGAGGCUGCAGGAGUUUUGGGUGGGAUAAUCAUGGAGGCUUUCUAAAGCCAUGCUGUGGAGUUGGUCUUCCUUCCUGAAGUCCACAGAGAGCUGAAGUUUUGAGCAAGGGCUGUGAAGACCAGAGCUGGGGUUAAGAAUAUUAAUUCAACAGCAAAUGUCUGAUGAGGUGAAGUGGAGUCAGAGAGAGCCCAGCCUGGAAAGACUUGGGGCAGCCUCAUAGAUAGGGCUUGGCAUUCUUUCUCCCCAAAGGGAUACAGCCUGGGGAUGGGGUGUGGAGAUGCAUUCAUGGAUGAUGUAUCUUUAAGAAUAAUGCCACAGCCCUCUCUAGCCUGACUCAGUCUAGAGCUGUCUUUCUGCUCUUAUGUAAAAACUCAUAGAACAAGCAGAUGAGUCAGAGGUUCACAGGGCAGUCCUUCAUCCACCAGUGCUCUGAGAGCAUUGGAGGAGAUGGGGCAAGCGUGCCAAACUCUUCUUGCUGAUAUCUAAACAUCCCAAAACCCAGAUAGGGACAUGGAAAUCAUACAUUUUAUUUUGAAAUAUAUUCUCACUCUUCUAAAAAUAUUUAAGGUGACUAACAAAAUAAUAACAAUAACAUCUCUACUGUAUCCUUAGGUCAGACACCACACUGGUCAUUAUGGUAGGAGACACACUUGGAGCUGUGCACAAAGAGGAUGCCAAAAGCAGAGGCAUGUGAUGGAGAAUAAUGCAGGAGCUCAAAGAGCCUGUGGUGGGGAGUUGUAUGUGUCCACCUGCCUAGGAUGUAGCACCCAGUUACUCAAUCCAACACUAAUCUAAGUGUUGCUCUGAAGGGAUUUUGUAGGUUGGGCUUACAACUACUAUCAGUUGACUUAAGAUAAGGAGAUUAUCUUCAAUAAUCUGAAUAGGCCCCAUUUGAUCAGUUAAAGGCCUAAAGAGUGGAAUUGAGGUUUCUCUGAGGAAGAAGAAAUUCUUCCCCCAGACUGCAGCAUCAUCAGCUCCUGUCUGAGCGCUUGCAGCCUGCUGACCUGCCUGAAGAUUUCAGAAUUCACCAACUCCGCAAUUUCAUGAGCAGAUACCUUAAAGUAAGUCUUUUUUUUAUUUUUGUCUCUAUCUCUAUGUCUGUCUCUGUCUCCCUCUACCUCUACUACUACCUCUUCAUCUCCAUCUCUACCUCCAUCUUCAUCACCAUCUCUAUCAUCUCUGUCUCCAUGUGUAUCUCUAAGUGUGCAUCCAUAUCUCUGUCUACAUAUCUUGUUGGUCCUGUUUCUCUGGAGACCGCAAAUGAGUACUUAAAGCCAAAGUCAGUGGGAGCAGCGGACAAUGAGGACCAGCUCUCUGACCUUAGUGUCUUCCGUAGUUUCUCUCUCUUACUCUGCUGUAGCUACAAAGACCCUCUUUCUAGUCUUCAAACAUUCCAAGCAUGUUGUAGGUGCCAGACCUUGACAUUUGUUCCCUUCACUUGGAGAGCUCUUCCUGACAGUCUCAGCAUCCACUUCAUCUAGAGGUCUGCAUAGAAGCCACCUCAGGGAGAAGUCUUCCCUGACGGCUCUAACCUCCAAUAUCCAUCACCAUCAUCCUGUCUUUACUCAGUUUUCUUCCCAGUGCUUAUCACUGCUGGCUAGUAGAUAGCAU